rnacentral:rRNA from 1 species
GUCUUUAAGAUAAUUAAUUUAAAGUCAAAUCUGCCCACUGAAAAUUUUUAAACGGCUGCAGAAAUUCUGUACAAAGGUAGCAUAAUAAUUUGUUUUUUAAUUAAAAACUAGAAUGAAAGAUUAAAUGAAAUAUAAACUUUUUCAAUUAAAUAUUUAUUAAAUUUUUUAUUUAAGUAAAAAAACUUAAAUAAAAAUUAAAGACGACAAGACCCUAUAGAAUUUUAUUUAUAUUAUUUUUAUUUUAAAAUAAAAUAAAUUUUAUUGGGGCAAUAAAAAAAUUUAAAUAAUUUAUUUUAAAUUUUACAUCCAAAAAUGUUCUUAAAACCUUAAUUUUUAAACCAAAUAAAUUAAUUACCUUAGGGAUAACAGCAUAAUUUUUCUUAAAAGAUCAUAUUUACAGAAAAGUUUAU